rnacentral:rRNA from 1 species
UACGGAGGGUGCGAACGUUAAUCGGAAUCACUGGGCGUAAAGCGCGCGUAGGCGGUUUGUUAAGUGGGAUGUGAAAUCCCCGGGCUUAACCUGGGAAUUGCAUUUCAAACUGGCCGACUAGAGUACGGUAGAGGGAUGCGGAAUUCCAGGUGUAGCGGUGAAAUGCGUAGAUAUCUGGAGGAACACCGGUGGCGAAGGCGGCAUCCUGGACCAACACUGACACUGAGGAGCGAAAGCCAGGGGAGCAAACGGG